CCCCUUUUCCUUCCCCAGAAGAAAGUUCACUCACAGUAUGUUCAUUCAGCUGUUGUGAUUAGUUUGUAGAAUUGAGAGGAGCAUUGCCCAUGGUUUAUCUUUUUUGGUUCAUCAUCAAAAACCACCGUAGCCGAUCGUGGGGAUCCUAACGAUCCCCGAGUAAGAUUAAAACGUGAUUGCGUUGGGAUUAUGGCUGCUUUCAAACUUGGGCAGCCUUUUCAUCAUGUUGUAAUUCUAGCCAACACCCAUCUUUGUUGGUAAAAUUGGAUCCAGAAUGGGCUGAUGUGAAGCUCGCUCAGGCUAAGUAUCUUUUAUCACGCCUAGCUCGAUUCAAAUCUUUAGUUGCUGAAAAGUUUGAAUGCACACCCUCAGUACUUUUGGCUGGCGAUUUCAAUUCAACCCCAGGAGAUAAGGUUUGUAUUCUAUCUCGAUUUAUCAUUUGCAUUGAAUUUCCUCUUUCUGAAGAUAUGGUAUAUAGCUAUUUCAUUGUUAUUAUCAUGUCUAAAUUACAAGUUUAGUCCCUUGAACUUUGUGUCUCCUUGAUUGCUUAACUUUCCAAAAGUGUCUAAAAGAUCUGCAUGCUUUCAAUUUUGUGUAA